rnacentral:lncRNA from 1 species
UAGUAUUCUAUAUAUGAAGCCAAGGAUGAAGAUUUUUCUCCGACAAAAGAAGGUGACUCCGCAGAUGAUUGCUAAGAGCCUGACCAAUGUAGAAUAUGAUACAUAUAAGCCUACCUCCACGGUAUCCUUGCAUGUAGCUGAGAUCUUCAGUUCAGGGUUAAAUUUUUAUAUUGGUACACAGUCAAAAUGCUGCCUUGUUCCAAUUCAAAAUCAUAUGCUAAGGCAUCCCUCCUACUGGAUCCUUGAAGAAAGAAUUUUUAAAUGUCUGCACCAGUUUUUAUCAGAAACUACCUGUGAGCUGUUAAAUGAAAGUCAUGUGUAUUUGAAGACUGUGGCUCAGUAGAUUUCAAAAUCUAAUAUUUAUUUAUUUAUUUAUUUAUUUAUUUCUCUUGAGACAGGGUCUCCCACAAUAUUCCAUGCUGGCCUUGAACUUACUGUUUAGUAUAGGCUAGCUUCAAACUUGAGGUGAUCCUCCUGCCUCAGCCUUUUGAAUGCUGAGUGUAAGUAUAUGCUGUCAUGCCUGGCUUUAAAACAUUUUUUUAUUAGAAAUGUUCAUUUUAAGUCCUCAGCAUAUACCAGUGAGCAGCCAAACUUGAGAAUCUUAUCCAUAGAUAUCCACAUUACAAUUUAUUUAUAUUGGAAUUUUGUCAUAUUUCUAUUGGUUAAAAUAAAAUUUUAGUUGGACUCAUUAAUCUUACAGUUUAUGU